rnacentral:siRNA from 1 species
AAGCGGACUAGGUGGUGCGGAACA